UAAUAAUAUAUAUUUCAUGCUUUUAAGUUGGUACAUAACCCAAAAUAUGUUAUGUAUAAUUAUUUUAUAACUUAGUAAUAUAAACUUGUUGUUUCGAUUUAAACACUACAUAAAUACAUAAGAAAUAUGAUUAAUCCACUACAAAAGUUAUUUUCUUUCUUAAAAUAUUGGUAUUUUAGAUACAUGCUUGUUACGGAAUUAUACAUGGUUGAAGAAUGGGAAAGAAACUUUAUCAAUAUAUUUUUUGUUGUACUCUUCUUUUUCUUUUUUGUAUUCAAUUGUAAAAUAGUAUUACCAAUUAUACAGUACAUAUUAUAUUCAAAAACAAUAAUAUUUUAAUUGUAUUUAUUUUAAGAAAAACAACAAUUUAUUCUUGCAUUUUAAUUAAAAAAAUUUAAAACAUAAUUAACAUUGUAUGGUGAAAGUAAUAGUAAAUUCGUAUUCAAAGUUACAUAUAAUUUUUGCAUUUUAAAAUGAAUUAAUAUAAUUUAUUAACGAAAUAUCUUUAUUCAAAACCAUAUGUAUAUUCUAUUAUAUAAUUAAAUAUUAAAUAUUCAAU